AUAUCAACUUGGAUGAAGAGGAGUAAAGAUAAAGGAGUAUAUAGAGAGAAGGAUUCGUCGGCUGGAAGAUCUUUCAUACAAAAUAUCUUGAAGGUAGCUUCGGAGUUUUUUUGCUGAACUAACAGUAGGCAAAAACGGUGGAAAUCGUUAAAUUAAUUGAGAGCUGGAUUUUCCAGAACUAAGGUGGUAACGCGCGCUGUCGUCCUUUUC
rnacentral:ncRNA from 1 species